UGGGGAAUAUUGGACAAUGGGCGCAAGCCUGAUCCAGCCAUGCCGCGUGAGUGAUGAAGGCCCUAGGGUUGUAAAGCUCUUUCACCGGUGAAGAUAAUGACGGUAACCGGAGAAGAAGCCCCGGCUAACUUCGUGCCAGCAGCCGCGGUAAUACGAAGGGGGCUAGCGUUGUUCGGAUUUACUGGGCGUAAAGCGCACGUAGGCGGACUUUUAAGUCAGGGGUGAAAUCCCGGGGCUCAACCCCGGAACUGCCUUUGAUACUGGAAGUCUUGAGUAUGGUAGAGGUGAGUGGAAUUCCGAGUGUAGAGGUGAAAUUCGUAGAUAUUCGGAGGAACACCAGUGGCGAAGGCGGCUCACUGGACCAUUACUGACGCUGAGGUGCGAAAGCGUGGGGAGCAAACAGG
rnacentral:rRNA from 5 species